rnacentral:rRNA from 1 species
GACGAACGCUGGCGGCGUGCUUAACACAUGCAAGUCGAACGGAAAGGCCCUGCUUUUGUGGGGUGCUCGAGUGGCGAACGGGUGAGUAACACGUGAGUAACCUGCCCUUGACUUUGGGAUAUCUUCAGGAAACUGGGGCUAAUACCGGAUAGGAGCUCCUGCUUCAUGGUGGGGGUUGGAAAGUUUCGGCGGUUGGGGAUGGACUCGCGGCUUAUCAGCUUGUUGGUGGGGUAGUGGCUUACCAAGGCUUUGACGGGUAGCCGGCCUGAGAGGGUGACCGGCCACAUUGGGACUGAGAUACGGCCCAGACUCCUACGGGAGGCAGCAGUGGGGAAUAUUGCACAAUGGGCGGAAGCCUGAUGCAGCAACGCCGCGUGCGGGAUGACGGCCUUCGGGUUGUAAACCGCUUUCGCCUGUGACGAAGCGUGAGUGACGGUAAUGGGUAAAGAAGCACCGGCUAACUACGUG